GGUAAAGCUUUUGCGGUUUGGGAUGGGCCUGCGUCCUAUCAGGUAGUUGGUGAGGUAAGUGCUCACCAAGCCUAUGACGGGUAGCUGGUCUGAGAGGAUGGUCAGCCAGACUGGGACUGCGACACGGCCCAGACUCCUACGGGAGGCAGCAACUAGGAAUUGUGCGCAAUGGACGAAAGUCUGACGCCGCGACAUCGCGUGGAGGAUGAAGGUCUUCGGAUUGUAAACUCCUUUUCUUACCGAACAAGUUCUGAGUGUAGGUAAGGAAUAAGUGCCUGCUAACCACGUGCCAGAAGCAUCGGUAAUACGUGGGGCACGAGCGUUAUCCGGAUUUACUGGGCGUAAAGAGAAGCGUAGGCGGCUCGAUAAGUUUGGUGUUAAAUCUUCCGGCUCAACCGGAAACAAGUACCGAAAACUAUCGAGAUUGAGUCGAGUAGGGAAGAGGGGAAUUCCUGGUGGAGCGGUUAAAUGCGUAGAUAUCAGGAGGAAUACCAAGGGCGAAGGCACCUCUUUGGACUCGUACUGACGCUGAGGCUCGAAAGCGUGGGUAGCAAAACGGAUUAGAUACCCGUGUAGUCCACGCCGUAAACGAUCCCUGUUAGAUGUAUGUUUUGUC
rnacentral:rRNA from 1 species